GGUCUGGAGAGCUUGGUAAGUUUAGCCUGCAGAAGAGAAGGUUGCAAGGAGACAUAUCACUUCUUCAAAUAGAAUCCUCUGUCACCGAGAAUUCUUUAGUAGUGCAUAUAAAAAGAAGAAGAGGAAUUUGCAUCACAAUUUGUAGUACUUGCAUCAAUGCCCUAUUAUUGGAAUUAAUCUCUUCCUACAUUCAAUUCACAAUUCAACAACUAUUGAUCCUAUGUACUGCAUUUUGUCCUAAAUCUAAGAAGAAGGGGAAGAAAUAAGAUCUUUUAGUGAUCACUGAUUUGUAGGGCUGCCAUACAUCAAGAUAACUUUAAAGUACCUAAUGGAUGCGCACAGUCUAAAUACUUCCUUGAAUUCAUAACCAAGGGCAAGAUGUUCAGUCAGAUUAUAGAAUUCCACAAUGUCCUUGCCAAUGAACUAAUUGUUCUGGUGACCGAUGGUUUAUUUCCAUUUCCUCUUUUAACAACUUAUAAAGGGCUUAGCUCAGCACCAGAGACUCACAUUCAGCAACCAUGAUGCAGGUUGGUUGCUUUGCCUGCUCCAUCUUUACUAUAGGGAUGCUCUUCACAUUAUGGUUUGAUCUUCUGGGCAUUUCUGGACAAGCUGGGGGUGGACUGCCUCAAAAAUGUACAUUUCCCAUGGAUCCUGGAACUGGCAAGGCAAAAAUAAUUGCCUACUACUAUAAUCAAAACAGCAAGCAGUCCAUGAAAUAUCAUGUCUUCCACUAAGAAAAGAGAGUUGUCCUGUUGGUGGAAAUGGAGUACGAUAACAAAGGAAGCUUUGUCUUCUCCAUCUUUACAGUAGGAGACCUACUCAAAAUAUGGUGUGAUCCGCUGGGCAUUCCUGGACAGGCUGAUGUAGAACCAAUGGGCCCAUAAUGCAAACCACAGGCUGGACCAGAUCUCUUACAACAUAAAGGCACUUGGAAAAACACCAGUGCUUCCCAGUCUCCUAUAUCAAUCUUGGUGAAGAUCCUCGCAUGCUCUGUAAUGAACUCAGCUCUUCUACCUACAAGACACUAUUAUUUAAAUGAGAAAUUUGCCUAUGAAUAGGAAAAAUCAAAACUAUUUAGGAGACAAAGCUAAAUGAUAACUCUUUGUUUAAAAGUACUCUAAAGCAAAUAAAGCAAAGGAAGUAAUGUCUACUAAUU